CGCGUAGGCGGCGUGACAAGUCACUUGUGAAAUCUCUGAGCUUAACUCAGAACGGCCAAGUGAAACUGUUGUGCUAGAGUGCAGAAGGGGCAAUCGGAAUUCUUGGUGUAGCGGUGAAAUGCGUAGAUAUCAAGAGGAACACCUGAGGUGAAGACGGGUUGCUGGGCUGACACUGACGCUGAGGCGCGAAAGCCAGGGGAGCAAACG
rnacentral:rRNA from 1 species